CGCGUAGGCGGCCUGGUAAGUCGGGGGUGAAACGCUGGGGCUCAACCCCAGCACUGCCUUCGAGACUGUCAGGCUUGAGCACGGUAGAGGCUGGUGGAAUUCCCGGUGUAGCGGUGGAAUGCGUAGAGAUCGGGAAGAACAUCGGUGGCGAAGGCGGCCAGCUGGGCCGUUGCUGACGCUGAGGCGCGACAGCGUGGGGAGCAAACA
rnacentral:rRNA from 1 species